UUCAGCAAGUGAUUUACGGGUGUGCCAGCUACUGUCAACCAAACCACGGCGCUCUGGGAUUCAAACAGCACUAAGGAGUCAACCUGCUGGGUGCCACGGCAUCUGCAGCUGCCUCAGGGUACUUUGGUGGGAGCCCUUCAAACCUUUAUGUUCAGUACCUAUGUCACAAGGAUUUCAUAAAGUCCCGGUUAAAUUGCUCCAUUCUGUACUACAGCCUUGAAGGUUGUGCUGCUGCUGUUGUGCAUCUGAGUCCCAGUGCGAGAAAUGAAAAGGUUCAGAGAAUCAUGACACCAAGAAAAGAUCUAAAGCUGCACUCUACUCCUGACAGCUUCUCUUUACACCACCGUUUUUGCUCUGAGCACGUUCCAGUGUCUCUGCACUCCCAGUCCACCUGCAGCAGCUGGGGCCAGCCAAAGCAGGCUCUCGUAGCCUGGCAUUCCUACUGGGAGCUUCUCACAGCACGAGGAAACUCCCUUCCAGCAGAUCACAGGUGUUCUCCACAUGAUGUGAGCAGGUGAGAGCAC